AGGGAGUGCUACCGGGCGACCGGAUGCGGAUCUCGAAAGCCUGUCCCAGUUCGGACUGGAGUCUGCAACCCGACUCCACGAAGUUGGAUUCGCUAGUAAUCGCGCAUCAGCCAUGGCGCGGUGAAUACGUUCCCGGGCCUUGUACACACCGCCCGUCAAGCCAUGGGAGCCGGGGGGCGCCUGAAGUCCGGGACCGCGAGGACCGGCCUAGGGCGAAACUGGUAACUGGGGCUAAGUCGUAACAAGGUAAC
rnacentral:rRNA from 1 species